UACGGAGGGUGCAAGCGUUAUCCGGAAUCACUGGGCGUAAAGGGUGCGUAGGCGGGUCUUUAAGUCAGGGUGAAAUCCUGGAGCUCAACUCCAGAACUGCCUUUGAUACUGAAGAUCUUGAGUUCGGGAGAGUGAGUGGAACUGCGAGUGUAGAGGUGAAAUUCGUAGAUAUUGCAAGAACACCAGUGGCGAAGGCGGCUCACUGGCCCGAUACUGACGCUGAGGUGCGAAAGCGUGGGAGCAAACAGGGAU
rnacentral:rRNA from 1 species